rnacentral:rRNA from 1 species
CAGUCGCCACGGGAAAACGGAGGGUGCAAGCGUUAUCCGGAUUCACUGGGUUUAAAGGGUGCGUAGGCGGGCAGGUAAGUCAGUGGUGAAAUCUUCGAGCUUAACUCGGAAACUGCCGUUGAUACUAUCUGUCUUGAAUAACGUUAAGGUGAGCGGAAUAUGUCAUGUAGCGGUGAAAUGCUUAGAUAUGACAUAGAACACCGAUUGCGAAGGCAGCUCACUAAACGCUCAUUGACGCUGAGGCACGAAAGCGUGGGGAUCAAACAGGAUUAGAUACCCCCGUAGUCCCCGUCUCUUAUAC